AGUAUAAACCAUUGAAUCCGCACAUGCGCCGACACAUCCAGUCGGGUGCCCUGACCCUUCGGGAACGGGUUUCUGGAUGGGGUGCAUGGAGGCCCAAC
rnacentral:sRNA from 1 species